rnacentral:rRNA from 1 species
UACAGAGGGUGCGGGCGUAAUCGGAAUUACUGGGCGUAAAGCGCGCGUAGGCGGCUUUGCAAGUCGAUUGUGAAAUCCCCGGGCUUAACCUGGGAACUGCAUUGGUGACUGCAUCGCUCGAGUAUGGCAGAGGGGGGUAGAAUUCCACGUGUAGCAGUGAAAUGCGUAGAGAUGUGGAGGAACACCGAUGGCGAAGGCAGCCCCCUGGGUCAAGAUUGACGCUCAUGCACGAAAGCGUGGGGAGCAAACAGG